CAUCGUGGCCUGCGGCGUAUGAGAAAUCAUUACUGUGAAGGAAUCCUUGCCAAGACUUGGAGAGUGUCUGACCCGCAGAGAAAUCUCAUGGAGGAUCCAAAGCAGUGACUGGCAAUCGUGAGAGCUGCAUAGAGAAGGGAGUCUGAGACUGCUCUAUGAUACUGAGUUUCCGUAUACAGAUGAUAGGAGAGCGUGCCAGGCUUCAUCCGGACGUGACACGUGCCCUCAAACCUCAGACUAGAAAGGAUGGGACGCAUCGUGUGCGGUGAGGUACAGAUGCGAGCAGGUGGCUAUUGCCGAAGGGCAGACACAGCCAGUUGAUGCAGGUGCGCCUGGUAGGCUGUUGGCUGCAGUAAGCAAUAGCUUGGGUGUGAAGGUGACACAAGGCUUUUUCCAGAAUGUGGUUUGUUUUUACCAGGCCCUCUGCAAAGAGUGGUUAGCUUGUCCUUUUCCCAUCACCUCGCUUUAUGCUGUGUGCUAACGUGAAAUGACGAGCUUGUCUCCCUCCCUUCUCCCCAUCAGGGCCACGAGCGCUGAGAUCCGCGUUGACACAUGCACACUCACCCGCAGUAAGGGAGCUCCUGCUGCUGCAGAGUGAGGCUCUUCCUGUGGCAGCAAGAAGAUGGCUGUAAGCAUCGGGAGGAUUUUUUUUAUUACAGUAAGCAGAGAGUUUACAACUGGUUUCCUGUCUGAAUGGGUUUCCCUUGAGCAAUCCCCAUACCCGUACAAUCCUCAACCAGAAAAACAACUCACAGCAAGUCUGUCAAGAGCACUGGCACAGAUGCCUGAAACAUCUCUCUUCCAGACAGGAGAGGACAGACUCUGCAGAGCUACAGGAGUCGCUGCAUGUUUCAGCACAGAAGGUUGGUGCCAAGAGUUGCUGCUGCUGUUGUACAUUAUUCAGGACCUAGUUGUGUCGGCGGGAGAGGAGAUCCCAUCCCCCUGCCCCUCUGCACUGCUUUGGCACCGCAAACCGCCGCCUGAGGCAAACCCAGAACGUCCUUGUUAACCAGCUCCUUCGGCUCUAGCGCACAGCAUCCACCGCAGCUGCUCGCGUAAGUGCCUGGGGUGGCCACGGUGGCAAGAUCGCGGUUGGCUGCCGGUGCCCUACGUCCGUCGGCGGCCAACCGCGCACGCUGGCGAAGAGCGCGAGAACAGGGCAAGCGUGCGAUGCUGCUCCGUCCGAAAAGCCUGAGCUUGCCGCGGGGCUGCGCGUCCCCUCGCCCCCCCAACACCAGGAUGACGUGGCGACGGACUGGGGGGCAUCAGGCUCCGGGCAUGCCUUGGCAUCGGUGUCUCACUUUGGUUAAAACCCGCUGCCUGAGCCUGUAUGGAGGAAGAGGUGCGACCCAUGGGACGUGUGCGGGCCCCAGGCACCCUGCUCCUGAGGUUUGUCCCUCUUGCACACGUUCUCCUGUUUUCAGCAGCUCUCCCAAACGCUGAGAGCAGCAGUGAUGUGUUUUACAGACCCACUGAGUGUGAGGAGAAGUGACAAGAAUUUCCUAUAAAUAUGACUCUAAUCACACAAACGUGUAAACCCCUUAGGAGCCAUCCAGGUGACUUUCACACUUUCUGAUAGUUUUUGUUGGUAGUGGCGCUUUUUUUUUUUUUGGCUAAUUUUUACAUCUCUGCAACUUCUGGGCUGCGCCUUACCUUUUUUUUUCGUGUACACAGCUUAGGCUAUGUCCUCAGAAACACAAAAUGGAUCCAAAUGAAACCCUUCACAGCAAUGCAGCCCUUCAGAGCCUUGAAUUAGCUGGUAAUCCUCACGCUCUCGCUCAUGGCCAGCGAUGUAAAACGAUGCUGUCUCUGCUAAAAUAAGCGGAAAACAAGCAAAAGAGUCAAGCUACCUUGUGUUGCCCAGUAACACCAUCAACUUCAGCGGGCUUACAUCGGGGGUUAAUUUGGUUUAGAGAGAUUAUAUUUUUGAAAAAGAAGCCUCCAUUUGGGUACAAAUCUGAUAACAGCACCCAUACCUCUGAUUGAACUGCAAAGUCUUUUGCUGUUGC
rnacentral:lncRNA from 1 species